rnacentral:rRNA from 1 species
AGAACGAACGCUGGCGGCAUGCCUAACACAUGCAAGUCGAACGAGACCUUCGGGUCUAGUGGCGCACGGGUGUGUAACGCGUGGGAAUCUGCCCUUGGGUUCGGGAUAACAGUUGGAAACGACUGCUAAUACCGGAUGAUGACUUCGGUCCAAAGAUUUAUCGCCCAGGGAUGAGCCCGCGUAGGAUUAGCUAGUUGGUGAGGUAAAGGCUCACCAAGGCGACGAUCCUUAGCUGGUCUGAGAGGAUGAUCAGCCACACUGGGACUGAGACACGGCCCAGACUCCUACGGGAGGCAGCAGUGGGGAAUAGUUGGACAAGUGGGCGAAAGCCUGAUCCAGCAAUGCCGCGUGAGUGAUGAAGGCCUUAGGGUUGUAAAGCUUCUUUACCCGGGAUGAUAAUGAACAGUAACGGGAGAAUAACGCCCCGGACUAACCUCCGUGCCAGCAGCCGC